rnacentral:rRNA from 1 species
AUGAUACGCGAGGAACCGUUACCUGGGCUCAAAUGUAUGUUGACGUAUUCUGAAAGGGAUACUUCUUCGGACAAUAUACAAGGUGCUGCAUGGUUGUCGUCAGCUCGUGCCGUGAGGUGUCGGGUUAAGUCCCAUAACGAGCGCAACCCCUAUCAUUAGUUGCCAUCAGGUCAAGCUGGGGACUCUAAUGAAACUGCCUACGCAAGUAGUGAGGAAGGUGGGGAUGACGUCAAAUCAGCACGGCCCUUACGUCCAGGGCUACACACGUGCUACAAUGGCCGAUACAGAGGGCAGCUACCUGGUGACAGGAUGCAAAUCUCCAAAGUCGGUCUCAGUUCGGAUCGGAGUCUGCAACCCGACUCCGUGAAGUUGGAUUCGCUAGUAAUCGCGCAUCAGCCAUGGCGCGGUGAAUACGUUCCCGGGCCUU